UCUCCAUCGUAAUGGGAAACGAGUGUCUGCAAGAGGAGAACGAGCCUUAGGAAGUGGAAGACAGGUGGUGGCAGAAGAGUGAACGAUCGGUUUUUCUGAGGGAGUAUAUAAGCUAAAAUUUCAAAAGUUGGUUUCAUUCUCUGCAUGCGAUCUUCUCCUCCAAAUCUUCUGAACUAGUUUCUCCUCCUUCUCUCUAACUUCUCUCUAAAAUUAUCAGCUUUUACUCCAUUGAAUCUCACAUUUUCUUCCAUCUGAUCAUCCAUCAGAGUGUAUGUAAGGUUGCUGGUGGCAAGGAUCCUCCUUUCAACCGAUCGUUUAGUGGUUUGAACUGUGAAUCUGGGAGGUUGAGUGUUGGUCGUGGUGCAAAUUCGGAUUGUGAGCGAUCGGUCUGUUAAGAGAUGUGAGCAGAAGGGGAAGAGCUUACGCUAGAGCAAGAGCUGGGUGGUGAGACUCCUGCUGAAUAGUUGAUGACCGUUCGGUCGUAUAGUAUAUAUAGUUUUGGUGAACCGAACGUUCACCAUUUUUGUUCUGUAAAUAUAACCGUUCGGUUAUAUGUUGAAUGUUCGGUAAUAGUAUA